CCAAACACAGACAUUUAUAAUAUUCUAUAAAUUUCACUCUUCACAUUAUAGAACGUAUUCGAGUUCGAAACACAACCUUACAUGUUUCUUCAUUUCUAGUUUAUUAGAUAAGUAUAUAUAUCAGCUACAUAAAUGCAAGGAAGACCCAUCACAGUUGCAUUUAUGCACAAAGGUACUACAGAAGUUGCGAUCCUCUCUGGUCAUCAGAAAGAAACUUCCGGUAACGGGAGAGGAUCAAAACUUCAACUAA